GUAAUUGAAGAACUCCUCGAUGAGCUUCAUGGAGCAGCAUGGUUCUCCAAGCUAGAUUUGCGUGCGGGGUAUCACCAGAUCAGACUAGCCCCAGGUGACGAGCACAAAAUGGCUUUCUCAACACACCAGGGCCAUUUUGAGUUCAAGGUUUUGUCCUUUGGGCUCGCAGGAGCUCCUCCCACGUUCAUUGAAGGGCUAACCACGACUCUCAAACCGGUGAUGCGCGUCUGUGUAAUCUGCUUCUUCGACGACAUCUUGAUCUUUAGUGCCACUUUGGGGGAACACAAGUGUCACGUGCGACAAGUGUUGGAACUUUUGCGCAAAGAUCACUGGAAAGUUAAGCUCAGCAAGUGUGCUUUCGGUCAG
rnacentral:rRNA from 1 species